GACGAACGCUGGCGGCGUGCCUAAUACAUGCAAGUCGAGCGAAUGGAAGGGAGCUUGCUCCCUGAAGUUAGCGGCGGACGGGUGAGUAACACGUGGGCAACCUGCCUGUAAGACUGGGAUAACUUCGGGAAACCGGAGCUAAUACCGGAUACGUUCUUUCCUCGCAUGAGGAAAGAUGGAAAGAUGGUUUCGGCUAUCACUUACAGAUGGGCCCGCGGCGCAUUAGCUAGUUGGUGGGGUAACGGCUCACCAAGGCGACGAUGCGUAGCCGACCUGAGAGGGUGAUCGGCCACACUGGGACUGAGACACGGCCCAGACUCCUACGGGAGGCAGCAGUAGGGAAUCUUCCGCAAUGGACGAAAGUCUGACGGAGCAACGCCGCGUGAGCGAAGAAGGCCUUCGGGUCGUAAAGCUCUGUUGUCAGGGAAGAACAAGUGCCAGAGUAACUGCUGGCACCUUGACGGUACCUGACCAGAAAGCCACGGCUAACUACGUGCCAGCCGCCGCAGUAAUAC
rnacentral:rRNA from 1 species